rnacentral:rRNA from 1 species
AGCGUAAUAGCUCACUGGUCGAGUCGGCCUGCGCGGAAGAUGUAACGGGGCUAAACCAUGCACCGAAGCUGCGGCAGCGACACUAUGUGUUGUUGGGUAGGGGAGCGUUCUGUAAGCCUGUGAAGGUAGCCUGUGAGGGUUGCUGGAGGUAUCAGAAGUGCGAAUGCUGACAUAAGUAACGAUAAAGCGGGUGAAAAGCCCGCUCGCCGGAAGACCAAGGGUUCCUGUCCAACGUUAAUCGGGGCAGGGUGAGUCGACCCCUAAGGCGAGGCCGAAAGGCGUAGUCGAUGGGAAACAGGUUAAUAUUCCUGUACUUGGUGUUACUGCGAAGGGGGGACGGAGAAGGCUAUGUUGGCCGGGCGACGGUUGUCCCGGUUUAAGCGUGUAGGCUGGUUUUCCAGGCAAAUCCGGAAAACCAAGGCUGAGGCGUGAUGACGAGGCACUACGGUGCUGAAGCGACAAAUGCCCUGCUUCCAGGAAAAGCCUCUAAGCAUCAGGUAACAUCAAAUCGUACCCCAAACCGACACAGGUGGUCAGGUAGAGAAUACCAAGGCGCUUGAGAGAACUCGGGUGAAGGAACUAGG